CCCCUCCUCCAGAGGAACAGACGACGGGACUAAAGUUUAAGUUAGCGUCCCGGCGCCAUUUUCAGGGAUUUUGAGGGCAGCUCUCGUCCAGCGCGCAUCUUUGCAACAGGUCGCAGUAACGACCAGCAGCUAUCGUGAUCCGCUUUCGGCAAUAAUGUAGUUGCUUCUGAGCCAGGCCAUGUCGCCUAGAUUUUUUUUAGUUUUUCUUAGUAGCUGCCCAAAUAGUCAAGUUUAACUUUAGUUUUCUUUGGUUUUCGCCAUAACUAUUUCUUCUAUGGCUACCGCGAGCUCCCGUGCCGCGCAUCCCCGGAUCACCCCCAGGGACAGCCACUACCUACUUCACCCUGCCAGCUAAGGCAGGGUUCCAGAAUCCCAGAGGGUUCCAGAAUCCCAGAGUACUUCAAGGACCCCAGACCAGUUCAAGAUGGCGGCCCAGUUCCGGCGCCACAUUUUGCACCUCAACCUGUAACUCGUGAGCCUCUAUAACGGAGUCUCCCUCCAUCUUUCGGCACCCCUUAAAAAGAAGUGAAGAACAGUUUAUAACUCCGCCAGUUUUAGGACGUUUUCCAUAUUAUUAUAAAAUAUUGUAUUUUAAACACAUAUAUUUGUUUGAUGAGCCUGCUAGCUGAAUGUUCCUAAACAGUUGAACAUAGCAUAGUAUGAAAUGGUGUUUCCCCCCCCCCCCCGGCCCCUCUUUCUUCUUUUUUUAUUCGUUAGUUACUCAAUGUAAUGUAUCAAAAAUAAGAAUCUGUCAUUGUUAGCAGUUUUGUUUGUAAUGGCUGUAAUGCCGUAAGAUAUUUUCUAAUGUAAGAAACCUAUCAAUGACAAGAUACUAAACUACUAAUCAACAGUAAAAGUCUCUAAUGAAACCAAA